AUGGGAACGCGAAGAACCUUACCUACUCUUGACAUCCAGAGAACUUAGCAGAGAUGCUUUGGUGCCUUCGGGAACUCUGAGACAGGUGCUGCAUGGCUGUCGUCAGCUCGUGUUGUGAAAUGUUGGGUUAAGUCCCGCAACGAGCGCAACCCUUAUCCUUUGUUGCCAGCGGUCCGGCCGGGAGCUCAAAGGAGACUGCCAGUGAUAAACUGGAGGAAGGUGGGGAUGACGUCAAGUCAUCAUGGCCCUUACGAGUAGGGCUACACACGUGCUACAAUGGCGCAUACAAAGAGAAGCGACCUCGCGAGAGCAAGCGGACCUCAUAAAGUGCGUCGUAGUCCGGAUUGGAGUCCGCAACUCGACUCCAUGAAGUCGGAAUCGCUAGUAAUCGUAGAUCAGAAUGCUACGGUGAAUACGUUCCCGGGUCUUGUACACACCG
rnacentral:rRNA from 1 species